rnacentral:rRNA from 1 species
UCCAGACUCCUACGGGAGGCAGCAGUGAGGAAUAUUGGUCAAUGGGAGAGAUCCUGAACCAGCCAAGCCGCGUGAGGGAAGACGGCCCUAUGGGUUGUAAACCUCUUUUGUCGGAGAACAAAACCCGGGACGUGUCCCGGACUGCGUGUAUCCGAAGAAAAAGCAUCGGCUAACUCCGAGCCAGCAGCCGCGGUAAUACGGAGGAUGCGAGCGUUAUCCGGAUUUAUUGGGUUUAAAGGGUGCGUAGGCGGUCCGUUAAGUCAGCGGUAAAAUGGCGGGGCUCAACCCUGUCGAGCCGUUGAAACUGGCAGACUUGAGUUGGCGAGAAGUACGCGGAAUGCGCGGUGUAGCGGUGAAAUGCAUAGAUAUCACGCAGAACUCCGAUUGCGAAGGCAGCAUACCGGCGCCCGACUGACGCUGAGGCACGAAAGCGUGGGUAUCGAACAGGAUUAGAUACCCUCGUACC